AAUAAUUCUACGUGGCGUUCAGUUCUUCUCCUACCGCAUAGUUUUAGCCCAGACAUAGAGGAGGUUCUUCUGUUAUCUGUUCAGUUUGUUCUUCUGGGGCUGCUAUUCCAAUUUACAGUCUGAUUUGAACUUAUGGGGAGGAAGACAACGAAUUGAUGUUGCUUAAACUGAGUGUGGAAAUAUGACCCUUACAACAACAACAAUAACAUACCAGGGGAAUCCCACAAUGUGGGGUCGGCAAGAAUAAAGUGUAUGCACACCUUAUCGCAUCUUGAAACCCCGGCUCAAAAGAGAACAAUGAAAAACAAGGCAAAAGAGUCAGAUACGGGCAAGCAUAUCAAAGCAAUGCGAAAAUGAGAAAUAACAAAGAGCGAAGAAGUCAGCAUGGAAAGACAAGACCCGAGUGGAAAUAUGACCCUUCUUUGCGUCUAAUUGUGAUGAUGGACAACAAGUUUGGAAGUGUACACCGGAACAGAUUAAAUGUUCUCUUGAAAAGGGUAUCUCAGCCACUGUCAAGCUAGAUGCGUUCACAUCAUUUCAUGUCUUUGAGCUCCGCUCACGAUAACAAUCCCUUGAAAGCUCUAUCUACCACAGAUGUACUCACUGGUUAAGAACAUGGAUAAAUCCAGGUUUCUUUUUAAAUGAGUUGUAAUGACUCUCUUCCAUAUGGGAAGAGAAAAUUAUAUCACUGCGGACGACAUGGAACUUGCUCUACCUUGGCACCUUAUUAUCCACGACAUAAUGUGCAUGCAGUGCAUCUACACAGAAUGUUAAGAUGUUCCAUUUUAACAUCAGCAGACAGCAGCUUCUCUUAUAAGAUUCAUUAUGGUGGUACUGGCCAGAAAUCUACAGCUGCUACAAUGAAACAAAAUCUUCUUUGCGAGAUCCCUGUUACAUCUUCUCAUUCAGGUCUUGGUUUAAUUCCGAAGGUGUUGCAGCUCCUGUUCAACUGAUCAUCUUUUAAUGCGAGACAAUCAUUAUUUAUGAUAAAGUUUCACAGAACUCAGUCUGAGGAUCUACCUGUUUAUUGCUUGUGGCCUGGGAGGCUUGGUUCGGUUGAGCCUGUGGGUAUGGUAUUUUGUCCGAAAUGCAACAGACGCUACGACUAAACUGGAUUGGCACCAGAGAAAUUUUGGAAACCACACCUGGAAACCGAAGCCAAAGUCUGGGUUGAAAUUGAAGAUGAUUUGGAAUGGUAGAAGAUAAAUCUACUUCAGGCUUUGCAGAUUCAUUCAUUUACUUACAACAGUACUAGAAUGAUUGUACGUAAUGUGUCAGUGUUGUCUUCUUUCAUAACUAUAUACUUGGGAGUUAAUUGACAUGAGUUGCCAGAACCUGUUAAUGAAAGUUACGUUGUUGCUUGGAUUUGAACCAAA